GCCUUUAACCCAUAAGCAUUUUUUUUAUUUAUAGAAAAACAGUCUUCCUCAGCUGCUAUUUGGUCUGGAAGGAAAAUUCUUAUGGGCAUCUUAUAUUUUCAUGAGGAAUCUCCCCCCUCUUCCCACACAGUGAACCUGAUCAAAAUCAGGAGCCCCACGGCUGCUAUGUGAUUUUUAAUGUAUUAUGAUAGAACUCUGGUUUUCUGGACUUCAAAGGAUUAAUGCUUGCCUUCUUGGUUUAAAGCAAAAGAAGAGGAGGAGGAGGAGUUUGGAUUUGAUAUCCCGCUUUAUCACUACCCAAAGGAGUCGCAAAGCGGCUAACAUUCUCCUUUCCCUUCCUCCCUCACACCAAACACUCUGUGAGGUGAGUGGGGCUGAGAGACUUCAGAGAAGUGUGACUAGGCCAAGGUCACCCAGCAGCUGCAUGCGGAGGAGCGGGGAAGCGAACCUGGUUCACCAGAUUAUGAGUCUACCCCUCUUAACUACUACACCACACUGGCCGAACCGAACCAAACUCCAUUCACCUCCCUUUGGGAACGUCUGUUGGGCAGCAGCAUUAUUAGAGCAUUAAAAAUAAACUCCUGGGAACAAUCUGAAGACAAAUCUCCAGCAGAGAAAGACCAUUCAACAAAUUACAGUGCAUAUCUCCUUGUGUUUCUCAGC
rnacentral:lncRNA from 1 species